UACGUAGGGUGCAAGCGUUAAUCGGAAUUACUGGGCGUAAAGCGUGCGCAGGCGGUUUUGUAAGUCUGUCGUGAAAGCCCCGGGCUCAACCUGGGAAUUGCGAUGGAGACUGCAAGGCUUGAAUCUGGCAGAGGGGGGUAGAAUUCCACGUGUAGCAGUGAAAUGCGUAGAGAUGUGGAGGAAUACCGAUGGCGAAGGCAGCCCCCUGGGUCAAUACUGACGCUCAUGCACGAAAGCGUGGGGAGCAAACAGG
rnacentral:rRNA from 1 species